rnacentral:rRNA from 1 species
AUUGCCCGUUUGUCGGGCGGGGAGUAACGACUCAUUGGGAACUCCUCGAAUCAGGUAGGGAUACCCGCUGAACUUAAGCAUAUCAAUAAGCGGAGGAAAAGAAACCAACAGGGAUUGCCCCAGUAACGGCGAGUGAAGCGGCAGGAGCUCAAAUUUGAAAUCUGGGGUCUCCGACCUCCGAGUUGUAAUUUGGAGAGGCAUCUUCGGGGGGGAGCGCCGGCCCAUGUUCCUUGGAACAGGACGUCACAGAGGGUGAGAAUCCCGUGCGCGGCCGGCUGCCUCCUCCCGCGUGAAGGGCCUUCGACGAGUCGAGUUGUUUGGGAAUGCAGCUCCAAGUGGGUGGUAAAUUUCAUCUAAGGCUAAAUACCGGCGGGAGACCGAUAGCGCACAAGUAGAGUGAUCGAAAGAUGAAAAGCACUUUGAAAAUAGAGUCAAAAAGUACGUGAAAUUGUUGAAAGGGAAGCGCUUGAGACCAGACUCAGGCCCGGGCAAACAUCUCUCCCCUCGGGGCCGUGCAAUUGCCUGGGGCUGGGCCAGCAUCAGUUGGUGUGGCGGGACAAAGGCGUGGGGAAUGUGGCUCCCCUCGGGGAGUGUUAUUAGCCCCGCGCUCAAUGCCGCCGACGCCGACUGAGGACCGCGCCUCGGCUAGGAUGCUGGCUUAAUGGCCUCCAGCGACCCGUCUUGAAACACGGACCAAGGAGUCUAACAUCUAUGCGAGUGUUUGGGUGCCAAACCCUUGCGCGGAAUGAAAGUGAGCGGAGGUGGGAACCCCCCUGCGGGGCGCACCAUCGACCGAUCCUGAUGUCUUCG